rnacentral:rRNA from 1 species
AUGAGCCCGGGUCAUCGGUCGCCGCCCCACUACUCGGCCUCCACCUCCACCUCCGCCUCCAUCACCCGCGUUCCAUAUAUCAACGGACGGUGCCCCGCCUCGUCAGCGGCCGUACGCAAGGCUAAUAUCUGCAAGAGGUACUGGGAGACGCGCACGCCGCAGUCGUGGAGCGACGUGCACAUCCCCAACAAUUGGGACCUCUCCGCGGAUGGGGUGCCCAUCCCGCUGGUCCUGGUGAGCGGCCGCUCCCGCCUUUCGCCGGACCUCAUCGACAAGUGGAGGAAGGCCCCGGCCGCCGCCAGGGAAGCCCUCGCCCCCAGGUGCUGCCCCGGCCUCCCGCCGGAACUGCUGGCCAUCAUCCACGACGGUCUGGGGUUCAUCGACCGCAUCGCCUUCGCCGCGGUCUUCGCAGCAUCCUGCAUCGGCGACGGCGAUCUAUUCAAGCCGUACGCGCCGUGGCUCCUCCUCCCCGGCAAGACCACGGAGACCGCCGAGCUCUUCUCCGUCGCCGACCGGCGGGCCGCCACCGUGCGCGCCUCGGGCCCUGCGCUGCGCGGCCACUUCGUCCUUGGCUCCUCCCGCGGGUGGCUCGCCACGGCCGAUGAUUGGGGCCAGAUUCCCCACGACUGCUUCUCCGUGCGUCUAAAGUGCUUCCUAACAAUCCGUUACGGACACGGGCCGCCGUUCCCAGAUAAUUUCUUCGGGCGUCAGGGGUACGGUACCUACUCGUUCCGCCCCGAACAGAUGUUCUACCGGAAGGUUGUCCUGGCCCCGUGCCGCCCCGGCAGCUACGGCACCGCCAUGUUGAUUAUGGAACGACAUUUUGGGGCCCCGGCCUUCGCCACGGCGGAGGAUGGCGCGUGGAAGCUGGCACCGUCCGAGGACGGAGUCGAGGAUGCCAUCCACCACGAUGGCCAGUUUUACUCCAUCUCCUACUCGGGCGUCGUCGAAGUGUGGCAGCGUGACGGGGAGUCCGGCGAGUACACAAGCACGCCUGUCACGCCAAGGCUGACCAUCGAAGAAGGCAUCUCGCCGUGCCCUCUCAAGUACCUAGCGGUGACGCCGGGUGGGCGGCUAAUGGUGGUGCUCAAGUACGCCCAUGUGAUCAAGAAGGAGCACGGCCCGGACGGGUGGACGUGCUCCUUCAAAGUCCAUGUUGUCGGUGACGACGGGCGGUGGAAUGAGACAAGGGACAUCGGCGACGUGGCGUUGUUUGUCGGGGUGAACAACUCUCUGUGCAUGCCGACGAGGGGGCGCCCGGAGGUCGAGGCUGGCUGCGUCUAUUUCACCAACGACAGACUUGGGGAUGCAAUGUUUCGCAUGCGCUAUGAGUUGUCCACGCGGUUCCAUAGCUCUGAGGAUGAUGACGAGGUUGACAUUCGUGCCGUAGGGAUGUACAGUCUGAAGGACGGCACGGUGAAGAAGAUGGAGGUGUUCGGGCAAGACUACAGCAGGUGCAGGGACUUGAUGGGGCCAUAUCGAGGAUCGGCUAUGGUGUGCACGAAACUUGUUGACCCAGUGGUCCUUGAGGCUAUGUCAUGUCGGGAGGCUUUCGACUCACCUUCUGAUCUAUCGCUUACCCAAAUGAGAAUUGCGCCAGACUGCAAGGAGGCCCUCGCCCCCAGACGCUGCCCUAGCCUCCCGCCGGAGCUGCUGGACAACAUCCACGCCUUCGCCGCGGUCUUCGCAGCAUCCUGCGGCGGCGACGACGACGUAUUCAAGCCGUCCGCGCCGUGGCUCCUCCUCCCCGGCAAGAACGCCGACCGGCGCGGCGCCGCCGCGCGCGCCUCGGGCCCCGCGCUGCCCGGCCACGUCGUCCUCGGCUCCUCUCGAGGGUGGCUCGCCACAGCCGACGACCUGAGCCAGAUCUACCUCGUCAACCCCGCCACCGGCGAGCAGCACGCGCUCCCGCACAUCGCCACCAUGGGCAUAGUUCCUUGGGGCGUGAGGGGUACGGGGGCUUCUCGUUCGCCCCCAACUAUAUGUUCUACCGGAAGGUUGUCCAUUCCCCGCGCCGCCCCGGCAGCUACGGCACCGCCAUGCUUUAUCCUCUGGGAUGUUUUCGGCGCCCCGGCCUCCUCCACGGCGGAGGACGGUGUGUGGAAGCUGGCGCGGUCGGAGGAUGGAGUCGAGGACGCCAUCCACCACGACGGCCAGUUUUACUCCGUCUCCUACUCGGGUGUUGUCGAGGUGUGGCGGCGUGACGCGGAGUCUGGCGAGUACACAAGCACGGCUGUCACACCAAGGCUGGCCAUCGAGGAAGCCAGCUCGUGCCGCCCUCUCAAGUACCUGGUGGCAGCACCGGGUGGGCGGCUGAUGGUGGUGCUCAAGUAUGGUCGUGUGACCAAGAAGCGGUACGACCGGGAAUGGUGGACGUGCUCCUUCAAGGUCCAUGUCCUUGGCGACGACGGGCAGUGGAAUGAGACUAGAGACAUCGGUGCCGUCGCGCUAUUCGUCGGGGUGAACAACUCGUUCCUCAAGGACGGCACGCUGAAGAAGAUGGAGGCGCUCGGGCAAGAGUACAACAGGUGCAGUUCCUUGGGGCGUGAGGGGUACGGGGGCUACUCGUUCGCCCCCAACUAUAUGUUCUACCGGAAGGUUGUCAUGUCCCCGCGCCGCCCCGGCAGCUACGGCACCGCCAUGCUUAUCCUCUUGGAUGUUUUCAGCGUCCCGGCCUUCGCCACGGCGGAGGACGGUGUGUGGAAGCUGGCGCGGUCGGAGGAUGGAGUCGAGGACGCCAUCCACCACGACGGCCAGUUUUACUCCGUCUCCUACUCGGGUGUUGUCGAGGUGUGGCAGCGUGACGCGGAGUCUGGCGAGUACACGAGCACGGCUGUCACGCCAAGGCUGGCCAUUGAGGAAGCCAGCUCGUGCCGCCCUCUCAAGUACCUGGUGGCAGCACCGGGUGGGCGGCUGAUGGUGGUGCUCAAGUAUGGUCGUGUGACCAAGAAGCGGUACGACCGGGAAGGGUGGACGUGCUCCUUCAAGGUCCAUGUCCUUGGCGACGACGGACAGUGGAAUGAGACUAGAGACAUGGGUGUUGCCGCGCUGUUCGUUGGGGUGAACAACUCGCUGUGCGUGCCGACGAGUGGACGCCCGGAGAUCGAGGCCGGUUGCGUCUAUUUCACUGACGACAGACUCAGGGGCGUGCGCAAGGAGUAUUAUUCGCUUUGGGAUGAUGACGAUGUGGACGUUCGUGCUGUUGGGGUGUACAGCCUCAAGGACGGCACGCUGAAGAAGAUGGAGGCGCUCGGGCAAGAGUACAACAGGUGCAGGUUCUCGUCGCCGCCGGUCUGGAUCACACCUUCUAUCCCAUGA